CCUCUGCUGUCCUGUGAGUUACACGUGGAGUCCACCCUCAUACUGAAAUAGGGAACCCAAGUCCACCCCCAGGGCCUGGCAUCCAUAUGGCUCCCAGGCUGAAAUGGAAAGCAGCUUCGAUCUGAGAUCCACACACCCUGCAUCUUCCCUGGCAGCCUCCCACACGCGUCAUAGCGAGAAGUUGGGUGGGGGAGGGGAGAACAAUGGAGAAGAUGGAACAAAACAUCAAAGAUGAAUUCUUCCCUGGAGAAGCUCAUAAAUGAUGUGCUCUGUGAUCACCAUGAUGCUCACCCUGACACUCUGGGCUCUCACAGGCCCACAGCAGCUAGACCAAGGAACCCUACAUUGAAACCAGGGUCUGUGACCAGUGCCCUGGAGGAAGCAGAGGAUGAUGGGGGACAAAUGUCUACAGGCGGUGAUGUGUGUGAACAACCCGGGAAACUGACCUGCUCUGACAGGGAGACUUUAGCCAGAAGCUACAGGACCACCUGCCUAGGGGAUAGCACCGCCUACAGUGGGCUGGGCCCUCACCAAUCAUGAAUCAAGAAAAUGUCCCUACAGACUUGCUUAGAAGCCAAUAUUAUGAAGGCAUUUCUCAACUGUGGUUCCUUCUUCUCAGAUGACCCAGUUCAUGUUCAAUUGACAAACUAACCAGCACACUCUAUGGCUAUCCAGAAGCCUCUGGAAGUCCCCAGUGAUUACAGUCAGUGCUCAAAUCUGUUGUUUUUCCAGCCUUUAUGUUCCUUUUCCCCUUCUUCCUUCUGCAUUUCCUCCCUCUCUCCCUUCCCGUCCUUCCUUGUUUCCUCCUUCCCUCCCUCUUUCUUGCCCUUCCUUACUUCCUGUAUGCUGACACUGCUAAGAUCAACCGAAGAACCUAGUGUGGCUCUCACUGGGGAAGGCGAGGCAUGCUCUCUCAUCACCGCGCCCACAAGGAUCUGUUGAAUGAAACUCGAACCGGGUGGCCAGCAGCACCAAGGGAUUGGUUGGCGUGGCAGAAGAUGCCAGCCUAGGACGGCGGCAGGUGGAGUGGCCUAUGGCAGAUGGCACUUUCUGAAGCCCUCAAAUACACAGAGCACAGUGUCACCCCAGUUUCACCCAUGACCGCCAUGUCGUCCCAUCCCGCCCCCCGCAGUAGCAGGGCUUUGAGAAGUGAAAGGAGCCACCUCCCAACAGGAACCUCAGAGGACUCUGAAAUAUGGGGCAAGGGUCAUCUUGUAAUCUCAGCUGUGAAAACUUGCACCACUAAAGACCAUUUCCCCCCUUUACACAAAGACAUCAAGAGCCUGGCUCCCGGGCACAAAGUGCUCCUGGGACUGCAAUCUGAACCUAAAGGUGCCGAGGGAUGAUGGAGGACAAGGCUUCCAUUCACAAAGGGCCUUAUUUUGCUAUUUGCCCUCUCAGGCUCCAUCACCAAACAAAGCCAGAUUUGUAUCUGCAGAACAUUCUUACAGCAACUGGGAGAAUUUAUCCCUUAACGAAGCCGUUGGGAAAACCAACCCCAGAACAGCAGCAGGCCUCUACUCUUCCCACCAGAAAAAUCUCUGCCAUUCAAAGAGUCUCUUAAAAAACAGCCCAGAAGGGACGGCCUACUUAAAAGCAAGAUGGUUUGCUAACGCACAGGCAAACACCCCAGCAGGGAAAUAACAGCUUCCUGUGAGGGAAAGAGACUUGUGGAAAUUCUUAAAAUAGGCCAAAGAAUAGAGAGGUGCUUCUAAACGGAGAUCUGCUCCAGCGAGUGUCCCAACACUUUCUGAACCGGGACUGAGUGGCCGGGGGACACUUGCAGGCUCUUACUGUCAAGUGGUGAGACUCUGUGGAGGACCUUUCCUCUCUCCAUGCCCUUGGUCAUCAGGCAGGGACAGCCUUCGUCUCCAUCUCCUCUGGGGUGGCCCUCCUCGCUUCUCACUCACAUCACCACCACCACCUCCAGCCGGCCAGCAGUGAAGGCAGACCUGUGGCUCCAACUCUGCCUUGCUGCUCGGCCUUUCUGUGUGACACCUCUGCCCUGUCUUUCCCCCUGGAAGACGGACACCGCUGAGGACACCGCGUGAAAGGGCAAGAGCUGAGACCCAGCCCACACUCUGCUUACCAGCCUUUGCAAUGGAAGGCCCCCACCCCCACCCCACCACCCAUGGCACGUGGCCUCUCAGGGUCCCUGUCCCUAGCCUUUGCCACACGGUAGCUCUCCACACACACAUACCCAGCCUCCUCUCCGUUUGAAAGCCUGCCCUGGCCCUCCCUCUCCCCACCUGCUCAUAUGCCUGGUGAGUGGAAACGGCCAUGCUAAGUGACCUGUGAGGGGGAGCCUGGCAGGCAGAGAAGAAAAGCAGAGAAGACCCAGUGCCAGCCCGAGCAGCCGAUGUACAUCACAGAGCUCACGUGCCAGAGCUGAGCUAUGGAAACCGGGCCAUCUUGAUUCUCACGGAACAGCUGGGUGAAGGCACCCCAGAGCACACUCCAGCCUCAGUCGCGAGAAGCAGAGGAACAUUUUAGGGGCGUCUCCAUCACCAAAUCGGCAUUGUUCUCAGAACAACAGAACCACCACCCUGUGUGCUCACUCUUCUGGAGAACAGCGAGGGGACUCUCACUCCUGAUUCCAAGUUGAACUUUGUUGGGACUGAGGGCCACUUGGUGAAAGGACAAAAAGGUUCUGGGGAGUGUACCAUUUGUAAAGAUAUAAUCACCGUCCACUGUAACAACUACCCCGAGAACAGCUAGCUCUCCGCUUCCUUGCUCCAGCGUCCAGAAGCAGGUUGGGCCGGUUUGCCAGCUUGUGGCCAGCAGACACCUGUAACUGUUGCCUGGGCACCUGUGGGAGAUGGGCACCUGCAGGAGACAGGCCCAGGGCUCCAGGGGCAGUCGUCUGAGGUUCAAAGUAACCAAGACACAGGUGCACACCAUGUGGCCAGCGGGACAGGCAUGGAGAUUCAGCCUCCUUGUUCUUCUCCUAUUCUUUCUUCCCCUCUCUCCUCCGGACUGGGAGGAGGCUUGUUAUGCAAGCAGAGGCCCAGAUUGCAUUGAGGGAGGGGAAAGGCUCUGGGGUUGGGAUGGACUCGGGUACCCUCUCUUCCUAUUGGCAAGCGGGCGGUGCUAUGUGGGCAACGGUAUUUUGGGGUCUCUCAGACCAUGAGAGACAGAAGCUUGCCAAGCAGCUCCUCCUGUGAUUGAGACCUCGAGACGCCCGGCUACCAGCUGGCACAGUCCCGUGCCCAAAGCCCCACUGCUAUUCCACCACUCUGACUGCUCUGACACUUUCUCCGACACCAUUAAGACCUCUCCAAGGUCUGUCAACGACAAGGAUGUCUCUCUCUCUCCAAAGGAGCCUUCCAGGGCAGUGUUUGUCCCAAUCAGUCUGAGCAGGUUGUGAAAUGUUUCCAAGACUGGCUCCAUCAGAGGCAGACCCCAACCCCAAAGGACGCCAGCUGGAUUGCACACACCUGGUUGAGAAAGCCACUCCACUAGGUAACCCCAGAGCCCCAGUGGGAGACACAACACAUACCCACCAGGACCCCUAAGAGACAAGAGGCCCAUGGAACAGAAUGUAGUGCAAAUGGCACUGUUCCAGAGCUGAGUCCUGGCGUCCAGAGGACUUAGACGUCACACCAUCACCCUUGACACCCAUAUUCUCACUCCUUCUACUAUGAACCAGCCUGAACUCAGUGGACUCACGGAUGGAGCAAUGGCCUCAGCACAUGGAGGGAAAAACCCUGGAGGAAACCAAGGCUCUCCAGCAGACAACAGUCAAUCCCCAGAGGCAGCUCUGCCCUGUGACCUGCCAGCAUUGCAAGAGACCUGGCUAUGACUCAGUAACCACCCAACAGAGCCCAACCCAAGCUGCUCUUCCACAGAGCCACAGGAUAAAUGAGCAACAGUAUGUUAAGCCAGCAAGUAUGCAGCUGACUAGUUCUGCAGCAGAAACAUACUCAUGCAGCCAAUAAACCAUUCCAUGUGACAACUA